rnacentral:rRNA from 1 species
AGAAUCAACGCUGGCGGCGUGCCUAACACAUGCAAGUUGAGCGCUUAAGGGGGGCAACCCCCAAGAGAGCAGCGAACGGGUGAGUAACGCGUGGGUGAUCUUCCUUCAAGUGGGGAACAACAUCGGGAAACUGGUGCUAAUUCCGCAUAACACCUCAAGGCCAAGAGUCUUGAGAUCAAAGCCGGGGACCGUAAGGCCUGGCGCUUGAAGAUGAGCCCGCGUCCGAUUAGCUAGUUGGCGGGGUAAUGGCCCACCAAGGCUUCGAUCGGUAGCCGGCCUGAGAGGGCGGACGGCCACGACUGGAACUGAGACACGGUCCAGACUCCUACGGGAGGCAGCAGUGGGGAAUUUUCGCAAUGGGCGCAAGCCUGACGAAGCAACGCCGCGUGGAGGAUGAAGGUCUUCGGAUUGUAAACUCCUGUCGACCGGACGAAUGCACUCGACCUAAUACGUCGAAAUGUUGACGGUACCGGUGGAGGAAGCCAGGCUAACUCUAGUGCCAGCAG